rnacentral:rRNA from 1 species
GACGAACGCUGGCGGCGUGCUUAACACAUGCAAGUCGAGCGAUGAAGUUCCUUCGGGAAUGGAUUAGCGGCGGACGGGUGAGUAACACGUGGGUAACCUACCUCAUAGAGGGGAAUAGCCUUUCGAAAGGAAGAUUAAUACCGCAUAAGAUUGUAGUAUCGCAUGAUACAGCAAUUAAAGGAGUAAUCCGCUAUGAGAUGGACCCGCGUCGCAUUAGCUAGUUGGUGAGGUAACGGCUCACCAAGGCGACGAUGCGUAGCCGAACCGAGAGGGUGAUGGGCCGCAUUGGGACUGCGACACGGCCCAGACUCCUACGGGAGGCAGCAGUGGGGAAUAGUGAACAUUGGGGGAAACCCUGAUGCCGCCACGCCGCGUGAGUGAUGACGGUCUUCGGAUUGUAAAACUCUGUCUUCAGGGACGAGAAUGACGGUACCUGAGGAGGAAGCCACGGCUAACUACGUGCCAGCAGCCGCGGUAACAC